UAGAAGUCAGGUCGGAUUAAGCCAUAGUACGGAAAAAACUAUGCUACCUGUGAGCCCCGUCCAAGGACGUAAAAAGAAGUCAGGCCAUCUUAAAUGCCAUAGCUUGAGUAAACUAUGCUGCCUGUAGCUCCACCUGAGAAGGUGUAAAAAAUCUGGGAGGCCACAAACCAUGGAAGCUGUACGCAUGGCGUAGUGGACUAGCGGUUAGAGGAGACCCCUCCCUUACAAAUCGCAGCAACAAUGGGGGCCCAAGGCGAGAUGAAGCUGUAAUCUCGCUGGAAGGACUAGAGGUUAGAGGAGACCCCCCCGAAACAAAAAACAGCAUAU
rnacentral:lncRNA from 1 species